rnacentral:rRNA from 1 species
GAUGAACGUUAGCGGGAGGCUUAACACAUGCAAGUCGAGGGGCAGCAUAGGGUAGCAAUACUCUGAUGGCGACCGGCAAACGGGUGAGUAACGCGUAUGCAACCUACCCUGUACAGGGGGAUAACCCGGAGAAAUUCGGACUAAUAUCCCGUAAUAAUAUCCGGAGGCAUCUUUGGAUAUUUAAAGUUCCGACGGUACGGGAUGGGCAUGCGUAACAUUAGCUGGUUGGUAAGGUAACGGCUUACCAAGGCUAUGAUGUUUAGGGGUCCUGAGAGGGUGGUCCCCCACACUGGUACUGAGACACGGACCAGACUCCUACGGGAGGCAGCAGUGAGGAAUAUUGGUCAAUGGGCGCAAGCCUGAACCAGCCAUCCCGCGUGCAGGAAGACGGCCCUAUGGGUUGUAAACUGCUUUUCCAGGGAGAGAAACUUACGCACGUGUUGCGUGACUGACGGUACCCUGGGAAUAAGCAUCGGCUAACUCCGUGCCAGCAGCCGCGGUAAAACGUCUA